GCCUGGGUAGCUCAGUUGGUUAAGCGUCCGACUGUAGCUCGGAUCAUGUUCUCGUGGUUCAUGGGUUCAAGCCCCACGUUGGGCU